AGGAGAACAAGACCUUCUGUUGCUGUUGCCCUACUUUCAGUGGCUCUUGGCUUAGGAGAGUCCAGAAAGAGAGAUGUUCAUGCCGCUAUGGACGUCAGUUUGGCCCUCUUUCCGAAGCUUCUGGUUGUGUGGGGGAGAACUCAACAGGUACCUCAAGGAAGGUACCUUGGGGGAGGCCAAUGGAGAGCAGGCCACACUGUAAUCUCAGCUGAACGGGGUCGCACCUCUUUCACUGUCAUUGAGUGUGUGUACAUUUGUGUAUGUGCAAGAGGAUGUGUGUUUGAGACUACUGUGUUUGUGUGUGUGUGUGUGUGUGUGUGUGUGUGUAUAGGAGACAGAGGAGAGGAACAUGCCCUUCCUGGGUAUAAACCAGCUGCUACGGAUUGGAAGCCUGACACAUCUUUGCUGUUCAGACGCCAGGUCAUAGCAGGCAAGAUGAGAAGGUGAGUGCUGAGGGCCAAGCUCAACUUCAAGUAUGUUAAGUCAUGAGCGCAAGAGUGUCUUUCAUCUGGGUUCUCGUUUCCAGAUGUCCCUUCAGCUGCCCCUGUGCUGUGAAGCAGAGAACACGAUUUCUAAAGGGGAUGUCCCCUUGUUGUGAUGUGGAGGGAGUACUCUAGUGUCUCUUGGCCCUGUACAUACAGGGCACUGUAUUUGCAGAGCUGCACCCAGGAGAUCUUGGAGGAGAUGUUCUGUGGCUUUAACUCUUCUAACUCCCUUGACAAUGAUUGGGUGCUCCAGGCAAACAAGGAGCAGUGAUGUUCUGAGGUGAGAAUGGGAAGAGGGUACUCCACAGAGAGAUGGCUCCCAACAAAUAUAGAGAGAAACCUGGAGCCCUCCCGUAGUGGUUACACACGAGUGCUGCACAGGCCCAACCGCAAAGAGACCUGGACCUCCACCCCUAACCUCCGGCUACAUCUGAGGGAUCCUGUGUAGAACGCAGCUCCACUGUCAUUGCACAACGUCUGCAGGCUCACGAGAGAUCAUACUAAAGAAGAGAUCCACACAGGAAAUCUUGCAUGAGUUGCUCCAAGGGUUCAAUUCUCCAUCUACCCCCAAGAAGCACAGGUGCAUCAGGCCACCGACUACAAGCAUGGCCGGUCUGGGCUGAGAACCAGUCCCAUUCAUGGGGAAAGUCAGGACCCACAGAUGAUCAAGGCAAUCCAAGGAACGGGACUAAUAACAACUGGCUCCCCUGGGGCCUGCUGGAGAAAGUGCUCUCCCCUGAUCCUUCCUCCAUAGGUCAGGAACAGACCAAGGUACAUCAGCUUAGGGGACAUGCCAGGGAGCCCAUGCUUUGGUCUCUUCUCAGGCCCAAUCUGUGGGAUUUUGAGCAGCAUUUGAGGUGCUCUCUGUGUUCUAUGUGCAGUGGGAUGCUUACAGAUGACUCCAUGGAAUACUGGUCUUCGUAAAAGCUCUGAGUUGAGAGAAAUGUGAGUGUUGCGCAGCUAUUCGUGUGUGUUGAAGUUUCCAAUGCUGUGCCCUACGUCUGAACCAACCAAUGGUACUUUGAAGCCUAAAACCUUUUUCUGUGUGGGCCCUGAACUCCUUUGUCCUGUACAACUUCCUGAGGGGAUUGGUGUCUCUGGGCUGAGUGCCAGACCCUGAUCUUCCCAGUGGCUUGUGGUUUGGAAGCUGACAACAGUGCCCCUCCUUGUGUCUCUGGUGUGGAAAGGAAUCAUCCACCCUGACAACAGAUGAGUCCUGGGCCAUGGGGACGCUCUGGGAGGCCAGAAUGGAUACUUUUGUACAGUCCCUGCCACGAUCCAUCCAGGAGAGAAGCCUCUCAGAAAACGCAGUCGUUUCCCAUCUCUAUCACGUGUUCAGCACAGCGCAAAGGGUCCUGGGCCAGCAGCUCCUCAAGUGAGUGACCACCCCAUACACAGCACAGGGCCUGAGGCUCGCCUCUACUACUGGCAUGUUUUGGGAAUGUCACUGCACCUCUCUGAGCUUCUUUUUCUUCCUCUGAGAAGGGUUGUGGAAGAGGAUGAACCUCAUGGGGCUACUGUGGGCAAUCCUGGCAGAACACAUGGCCUAGAAUUCUCUGCUGCCUGGCUCUGUUGAAAGGGCUGCUGGGCAUCUUCCUGUGGAGCAGCUGUCUCUCGCCAGCGAAGAAGCUCUCCACAUCAAGCCUCAUGGGCCUGUGGCACCCUGGGUGUACAGAACACUGGAAAGCAGGCCGUUUUCCUGUUUGCAAAAGACUUCUGGGAUUCCAUCUAACUGGCACUGCUCCUUGUCCUUCAUGUGUCCAGAGCAGCGGUCAGUGGGGAAGACAGAGCAGCUCAUGGUCCACUCAGUAGACGGAAAGUGCUGGCUGGGAUUCCUUUCUCCAAGAAUAGAGAUAAAGCGCCUAGGAUUGCAGCCACAUUUCGAAGCACUAACAUCAUUGGAAGAAUACAGUAGAUACACGGUCUCAGUCUCAAGUCUAAUCAGAGUGUCAGACAGUCAAUCUACCUGUUGUAGGCACGCAUGUCCACAGUUGGUUAGAUGUGAAAUCUUCACGGCCGCCGCAUGGGAUGAAUGAUCCCGCCACAUUUAGACCACUGGGAUGGAUGAUUAGAUCAGGUAAGGGCACUGGGUGACUCAGUCAGUGAGGCCCCUGAAUUCAGAUCAGGCGAUGAUCCCAGGGACCUGGCUUUGAGACCUCCAUUGGGCUCCCUGCUCAGUGGGGAGCCUGCAUUGCCCUCUCCCACUGCAGCUCACCCUGCUUAUUCUCUCUUUUUAUUAAUUUUAAUUUUAAUUUUUAUUAUUUUUCACA